rnacentral:lncRNA from 1 species
CUGCCCCUCUGCCCCCGUUGCCUCGCCGCUAGGCCGCCCCCGGCGCCCGUGCCGGCACGUCGCCCGACUAGCCCCAAAGCGUGGCCACCCCCUUCGGUGAAUAGUUAGUUUUUUUCUAUUUUUUUCAUCUUAUUAGAUUAGUUAGAUAGCUACUGCUAAUUCGGUUAGUUAGGAAAAAGGAAAUUAGAAGAAGAAGAAAAAAAUAAGAAGGAAA